UUCAUCGGCCGGGAUGCCCGGGCCGCCCGCGUGGCAGGCGAGCAUUCUACCACUGAACCACCGAUGC